rnacentral:pre_miRNA from 1 species
UCUUCUUCACGUACCUCUCUAUGGCUGCAUCUUUAUGGCCAUAGUGAGGUACGUGUAGGUA